rnacentral:rRNA from 1 species
CCCUUAGAUGUUCUGGGCCGCACGCGCGCUACACUGACGAAUGCAACGAGCUUAUAACCUUGGCCGAAAGGUCUGGGUAAUCUCCAAAUUUCGUCGUGAUGGGGAUAGAUUAUUGCAAUUAUUAAUCUUCAACGAGCAAUGCCUAGUAAGCGCAAGUCAUCAGCUUGCGUUGAUUACGUCCCUGCCCUUUGUACACACCGCCCGUCGCUCCUACCGAUUGAAUGGUCCGGUGAAGCGUUCGGACCGUGGCCUUUGGACGGUUCGCCGUCUGUUGGCUGCGGGAAGUUCGUUAAACCUUAUCAUUUAGAGGAAGGAGAAGUCGUAACA